AAGACUAUACUAUCAGAGAUCAUUUCUAUAGCUCAUUACUAGAGAAAUUUCUCUGAAUGAGUAGAGCACCAGCAAAGAUAACCCUAAACAAAGU
rnacentral:snoRNA from 1 species